UACGGGGGGGGGCAAGCGUUGUUCGGAAUUACUGGGCGUAAAGGGCGCGUAGGCGGCCGAUCAAGUCAGGCGUGAAAUUCCCGGGCUCAACCUGGGGGCUGCGCUUGAUACUGAUUGGCUUGAAUGCGGGAGAGGAUAGUGGAAUUCCCAGUGUAGAGGUGAAAUUCGUAGAUAUUGGGAAGAACACCGGUGGCGAAGGCGGCUAUCUGGCCCGUAAUUGACGCUGAGGCGCGAAAGCGUGGGGAGCAAACAGG
rnacentral:rRNA from 1 species